CACUGUUAGCGAGAUGUAGUCUCGCCUGAUGAGUCCAAAAGGACGAAAACAGUU
rnacentral:hammerhead_ribozyme from 23 species